UACGUAGGGGGCAAGCGUUGUCCGGAAUCAUUGGGCGUAAAGCGCGUGUAGGCGGACUGGAAGGUCUGGUGUGAAAGCCCGGGGCUCAACCCCGGAGGGUCACUGGAAACCGACAGUCUUGAGUCCGGAAGAGGAGAGUGGAAUUCCUGGUGUAGCGGUGAAAUGCGUAGAGAUUAGGAAGAACACCAGUGGCGAAGGCGACUUACUGGACUGUAACUGACGCUGAGGCAUGAAAGCGUGGGGAGCAAACAGG
rnacentral:rRNA from 1 species